AAGCUCGUAGUUGAAUUUCGGCGUGCGCUCAGGCUGGUCGGCCGUCAUGGUCUGUACCGUUUGGGUCACGCCCCACUGUAGGAUACUCACCGCUGUCCUUAACUGGGUGGCGGUCAAAGGUUGCAGUGCAUGGGGGGCAACUCUGUCGCUGCCGCUGGGGUUCCUACUCUUUUACUUUGAGCAAAUUAGAGUGUUCAAAGCAGGCAAUCGAGCCUUGGAUACUUCAGCAUGGGAUAAUGGAACAGGACUGGGAU
rnacentral:rRNA from 1 species